GCCCCCGCCGCCCCGCCGCCCGCACCGGGGCCCAGCAGCGCCUCCCUCCCUCCCUCCCGCCCUGGCGCGGCCGGUCCCGCCGCCCGGAGCGACCCCGGCGACCGGUCCAUAGGCAGCUCUUUGCGCCCUCUUGUGGAGGAUCUCAGGCCAACUAUUCUGGAUGCAUCUAUGACAUGGUGGACAAGGCAGCAGAAACGAGUCAGCUUGAGGUGGCAGCCGAGGGAGUUGUUUUGUGGGAUGAAGCCUUGGUAAAGACAAGCCCAGAGGAUCUGCAGAUGCGUUGCAAGGAGUUGCGCUGCUAUAAUGACAUCCCUGUCAUGUGUUUGAAAAAAGAUGUUAACUGUGACCUGGAAAAGGACGGUUUGUUGCCAAAAAUUGAAGCUGAGGUCUCUACUCCUGCCCACCAAGAUUCAGUUCCUUUGAAUUUUGGGCGUAACCUUGCUGUUUGUUUGGAUAGCAAGGCUGGUGAGAUUGGUGAAGUAUCUGAACACAGAACUGGCAUGGAGAGAGCGGCUUGUGGCUCACAGGGAGGAGGUAUGCUGUCAUUUGACCAUGGAUUUUGGAAGGGGGCUGUUGGAGACAAGAAUCAGUUUCCCAGGAUGGAAGGAUGCCAUGAAAAUGGGGGCUUGUCAGAUUUGGGAAACCAUGACACUGACAAGUUUCCACAAGGUGCUGAUGCCCUGAGUUUGAUCGAUGAUAAUCAUGAGCUGGGAAGGGAUUGUUUUCUGGCAAAUAUUGAUGAAGAGGUGUCCUUCCCCGUUGAUGAAGCUUCGGUCCCUUCCUUCUACCAGAAGAGCCAUAUGGAUGUUUUUGUAGAAGAUAGCAAGUCAUGCAUAGAGAAAUUAACUCAAGAUUCACUGGAAGGAGAUAUGCUUUCAUGUGAGCGCGAUGCCAGAUUUCGUACUGAGGCUUCUGGAGACGAGAAUCAACAUAGGAUGGUGGUGUCGAAGGGUCAGGUUUCAUCUAUUUGUGAAGAUGCAAAUAGUCCGAGUUUAAAUGCUUGUGGUCUUUUUCCUGAAAUAGAAGUUCUACGCCAACAGGCUGACAAAGGAUACAAGGUCUUUGAACUACCCCCAGAGAUAUACCUGGCUAGAUCUUCCUAUAACCCACCUUGCCUAGAUGGACUUUGUCGUAGUGGCAAGGAAUCAUCUGCUGUGUGCCUGGGCCAUCAAGAUUCUUCUGGUGUCAAAUCACGUCGUCCAGAUCAUUUGGUACAAGAGCUCAAUGCAUAUAACUCUUCCAUUGACAAACCUUGCUCUGCCAAUUUUGUUGAAAAUGCCAAUGAUGAAGAAUCAGAAAAUAAAAUUUCGGAGUCAUUAAAUGCCUCCAAGCGUAGGAAUCCAAGAAGAGCCGCCUCAUCAAGAAAUCGCGCUCCUGCAGAACAUGAUCAUCAAAUAAACAAAGGAAGCAGUAGCACAUGCAAAUCUAAGAAGGUUGAGAGUUCGUGCUCAUUAGUUGAAAGCGCCUUGAUUAAGUUCCCAAGCAAAACUACCAAGGUAAGAAGUGGCAUCAACAGACCAGUGAAUUCGACUGCCUGGGGCAGUCUAGAAAAGCUAGCAGAUGGUUUUGGUCAGAACUGUGAACCUUCUACCUCUAAUUCUCAUCUGAUUUCCCUUGAAAACGGUGGGAGAUCAAACAAAAGAUCUGGGAAGAAAGAGCAGCCCAUUGUUCGAAAGGCUCGAAGUUCAAGAUGUCCAAAAAAUAAGUUCCCUGCCUUUUCUGUUACCAGAUAUGCACCGGAUGAAUUGAAUGGCGAACCUACCUUUUCAGUCAUGGAUGGUGCUUAUGGCUCCGCAGAAGGUUACAUAGGAAACUUCCCUAAGUUGGUUCCUCGUGCAUUUCUCAAUGUUUCUGAUGAUGCUCACAGAUCUGUGCAACAUAUGUCUAUCCAGACUGACAUGCAGCAGUUAGACAGGUGCUUGGAUAGUGUUGCUCAAGAAACAUGCCCUGCGUACAUGUGUGGAGAGUUUGCUAAAUCAAUUUCCGAACCUUCUCUUAAUAAUGGCGGUGUUGGAUUUUCACCUGACUCUGUUUUGGAGGUAGCCUCUGUUACAUGUGAAAACAACACCUCUGCAAGCCAUGAUGUUAAACUGCGUGGAAACCCAUCUUAUCCUGCUGUAUUGACUGAAAGUGAUCUUCAUGCAUCUGAUUUAUCUAUUCCUGACUUUGGAAAAAAUCAUGCGUCAUCAUCAACAGAUUUUGAGCAGCAGCCCAAAACUGUGAGGGGUGAUGAGAACACAAGAAGUGAAGAGAUUAAUCAGUCUCAUGCCAUAAUUGGUUAUGUUGGUGAGGGAAAAGUGCAAGGCUUAGAGAAGUCCAAUGCAGUGAGGAAAACUAAGAUGCUGGAAAAGCAGAAAGGCCGAAAGAAAGAUGGAAUAAAGGGAAAUAACAUAAGGGAUGGAAGUUCCACCAAAAUUUCAUCAAGUGAAGCUUCACAAUACAGGGUCUUCUCUGAUGAUCCAUCUUCACUUGUUUCAUCAGGACCUUUAAAGUUCAGUUCUUGUUUUGAGGUCGUAACUUCUGCCACACAUGGUAUCAGUAUGCAUGAACAUGGCUGGGUGCAGGGUACUUCUGUAAUUGGCAAGGAGAAAACGAGUGCACUUAACAAUGUAAAAUCACCGAGGUGCAAGAAAAGUGGUGGUCUUAGAGGGAAGAAGGAUAUGGUGCGGGAUCCGCAUGUGAAGCAAGAAAGCAAGAAGAAAAAUAUAGCAGAUGCCAUUUUCAUUGAUUCUGGAUUGUCUACUUUACCUUAUCAGCUCGCUACUAAUCUGGCAACAUCUCAUACGAAUGAACAGGGUUAUCGUAGUCCAGCUAUUGAAUAUACAUUUCAGAAUCCAGUAGCUAUAUCUACCGAAUUACCUGGAAAUGCUGCUGGCUCAACAGGUGGGGCAUCUGUAUCGCAGCCUAAACGUGCUGCAUGGGCAUGUUGUGAUGAUUGCCAAAAGUGGCGCUGCAUACCAUCUGAAUUGGCAGAUGUCAUUGGAGAAAACAGAUGGACUUGCAAGGACAAUGAUGACAAGGCGUUUGCUGAUUGUUCUAUACCACAAGCGAAGACAAACGCUGAGAUCAAUGCUGAGCUUGAACUUUCAGAUGCUUCUGCUGAUGAAGCUGACAAGGAUGGAUCAAACUCAAAAGCUUCUAGGGCACCGUCCUGGACAAAUCUCAGAUCGAACACAUAUCUACAUCGUAACCGAAGGAAUCAAUCCAUCGAUGAGAGCAUGGUAUGCAACUGCAAGCCUCCUCAAGACGGCCGAAUGGGUUGUAGAGAUGGCUGUUUGAACAGAAUGCUCAACAUUGAAUGUGCAAAACGUACAUGUCCAUGCGAGGAGCAAUGUUCUAAUCAGCAGUUUCAAAGGCGCAACUAUGCAAAAAUUGCAUGGUUCCAUUCUGGUAAGAAGGGCUAUGGAUUGAAGUUGCAAGAAGAAGUAUCUGAAGGACGGUUCCUUAUUGAAUAUGUUGGCGAGGUCCUUGAUAUAACGACUUAUGAAUCCCGCCAAAGAGAUUAUGCUUCUAAGGGCAAGAAGCAUUUCUACUUUAUGGCACUAGAUGGUGGUGAGGUAAUAGAUGCCUGCACCAAGGGAAACUUGGGCCGGUUCAUCAACCACAGCUGCAGUCCUAAUUGUCGCACAGAGAAGUGGAUGGUCAAUGGAGAAGUUUGCAUUGGAAUUUUUGCUAUGAGGAACAUCAAAAAGGAUGAAGAAUUAACGUUUGAUUACAACUAUGUUCGUGUAUCUGGUGCUGCUCCUCAAAAAUGUUUUUGUGGCACUGCCAAAUGCCGGGGUUACAUUGGUGGAGACAUAUCAGGGUCUGGUAUCAGCACCCAACAUGUUGCAGAAGCAGAGUAUUUUGAACCCAUGGUCACUUACAAGGAUGCCGAGGAAAUGCUAGGAAAUGCAUGUUCUCAUGGUGCAAAUCCUAGUGUUGUUGAGCUUGAGCAUGAGACCUCCAUCCAACAAGAAGAUUCAAAUAACUGCAUACCUGUAACCCCAGACUCUGAACCUCACCAAACUUCCCCUAUCUUAUUUGAAAAUAGUGAGCUAGAAAAUUCCUGGGAAAUGUGGAGCCCCCAGGAUGCCGAAGACCCCACCCGUACACCUGUCCAUGUGCCCAGAACAAUAGAUAGUACUUUGCAGCAGUUACCAGUAUAUGACACUCAGCCAUUAGAAUUCUUGCCGAAGGCUCCUAACACAAUGGAUGGAUCAAAGGCUCCAAAUGUGAUGAAUCAAUCAGCACGUAGCUCCGAUUUGGGGCAAAACCUGGUGGUACCUGGUUUCCAUGCUAAGAAGAAAAACAAUCUAAAAGAUCACAGAGAUGUAAAAUCAUCAUCAUGUUCUACUGACAAUGAAAAUACUCUCGGAGUUGAAGCAAGACUGAACAACCUACUGGAUCGAGAUGGAGGUAUUAGCAGACGAAAAGAUUCAACAAAUGGAUAUUUGAGGCUUCUUCUAUUUGUGACCGCAGCAGCACGUGACAAUGCCGCGGCCGCAGCAGCACGUGACAAUGCCGCGGCCGCAGCAUCACAUGAUGCGACCGCAAUGGAACAUGAAAAUGCUGCGACCCCAGCGGAACGUGACAAUGCUGGGGGCACAUCUAAAAGUGCAAGGGAUCUUUCGUUAAUUCUUGAUGCACUUCUAAAAACAAAAUCACGCUCUGUCCUGUUGGAUAUCAUCAACACGAAUGGAUUGCAAAUGCUUCAUAAUAUAUUGAAGCAGAAUCGAGACACCUUUCUUCGAAGACCUAUAAUACGGAAGCUUCUGAAGGUAUUGGAGUUUCUUGCUUUGAAGGGAAUCCUGAGAGCUGAAAAAAUAAAUGAAGAAGCCCCACGUGAGGAAAUGGAAAGAUUCAGGGACUCGAUGUUGAAAUUGACCCGGCAUAGUGAUAAACAGGUUCAAACUAUCGCUCGGCACUUCUGUGAGAAGUGGAUCCAUCCUUAUAUGGAUGGACCUGUUUCAACUUCAAAAUGGUGUACAGAUUCAUAUUCCAAUAGAAGAAAGCGCAAGAGCCGUUGGGAUUAUCAACCAGAAUCCCACUAUAAAAUGGUUGGAUCACUAGUUCGGAAAGUCUAUGGAGAAUUGGGUCUUCAGGCUGGCUUGACCAGAAAUAGGUCGCAGCCUGUGAUGGGAGGCAGCUCAACAGGCACAGACGAUGAUGUGCCUCCUGGGUUUGAGCCUCAGCAGGGUCGUUCUGUAGCUCCAGGAUUCUGCCUCCCUAACUUGAAUAUUUCAUAUGGGAUUCCCAUUGCUCAUGUUCAGCACUUGGGAACCCCAGAAGUCGAAGGAGGUGGCAACCGUGGACAGAAAUGGAAAGUCGCACCUGGUGUGCCUUUUAUUCCUUUCCCACAGUUGCAACGAGGGAGUCCUUGUCCUUCUACUUCAACUCAGAUGUCCUGUCAUGACGCCAUGAGGCAGAACAACAGUUCAGGAUAUCGAGGAAGAGGUUUCGACAGAGGUGGAAGGGUGCAAAGGAAUGGGAGGAAUGGGGCAAGAACGAGAUAUCCAUAUGAUCAUCAAGGAAGAAGAUUCCCAAGCAAUCAUCAUAGAUCUGAAAGAUGGCAGCCCUGGCCCCAGGAACAUGAUGGUGGUUCAGGAUCUAGGGGCAGACAAUGAAUGACCCAGCCCCUGGCAUCAAACAUCAAUUAGUUGUGUGUAUACAUGGUAAUUCCUUCCUGUUCAUCAGAAGUGUACACAAGCAAACUGUGUUAGCUUCUCAUUCUAUGUAACAGAAGUUUUUCACUGAUUCCAACAGUAGCAGAACAUGUGCUACAGAUAGGCCAAAAUUGCUAAUUCAUUUGUUGUCAACUUCUUGAUGUUCAGUGUGAGCGGCAAUCAAUCGGAGGAAGAGGACUAGUACGAUUUUCAUUGUAAUUUUAAUUUUUUUACUGGUCAUUCUGCCUCCAAUUGUCUUUCCUUGUACUGGCCGUUUUUCUGGAUAAUAAUUAUCAGUUCUAAGAUGCCCUUUGGGUGUCUUUCUUGAAGAAAAAAACAUCUUGAUGCCCA